GCUACGGGCGGCUGCAGUGAGGAAUAUUGGUCAAUGGACGGGAGUCUGAACCAGCCAAGUAGCGUGAAGGAUUACUGCCCUAUGGGUUGUACACUUCUUUUGUCAGGGAAUAAAACGAGGCACGUGUGCCUUUUUGCAUGUUCUUUGUGAAUAAGGAUCGGCUUACUCCGUUGCCACCGCCGCGGGAAUACGGGGGCUCCGAGCGGUAUUCGGAUUUAUUGGGUUUAAAGGGAGCGUAGAUGGGUGGUUAAGUCAGUUGUGAAAGUUUGCGGCGCAACCGUAAAAUGGCAAUUGAUACUGGGAGGCUUGAGUACAGGAGAGGUAGGCGGAAUUCGUGGUGUAGCGGUGAAAUGCUUAGAUAUCACGAAGAACCCCGAUUGCGAAGGCAGCUUACUAAACUGUGACUGACACUGAGGCACGAAAGUGUGGGGAUCAAACAGGAUUAGAUACCCUAGUAGUC
rnacentral:rRNA from 1 species